UUACGGUCAUAUCUCGUUGAAAACACCGCUUCUCGCUCGAUUACCGAAGUUAAGCAACGUCGAAACUGUUCAGGACCUAGAUGGGUAAACGCUUGGGAAUACCGGGUGUUGUAAG